rnacentral:lncRNA from 1 species
AGCAUUCGAUCAAAAACAACAAAUGAACAGCAGCAUAUAACAUAACAAUUAUGCAACCAUCAAGUAGCCACAACCCACACACAACAGCCACAAACCAUAUGGAUUUCUGGGCAGCUUAAAAAUAGCAAAACAGCAGGGCACUCAUGUUCUUCAUGCAAGCAUCAUCAUGAAACAAAUUUCGAACAACCAUCACAACAGCAUAGCAUUAUUAACAUCAAGCAACAUCAACCAAUC